rnacentral:rRNA from 1 species
UACGUAGGGUGCGAGCGUUAAUCGGAAUUACUGGGCGUAAAGCGUGCGCAGGCGGUUUUGUAGGCCAGAUGUGAAAUCCCCGGGCUUAACCUGGGAAUGGCAUUUGGGACUGCAAGGCUGGAGUGCGGCAGAGGAGACUGGAAUUCCUGGUGUAGCAGUGAAAUGCGUAGAUAUCAGGAGGAACACCGAUGGCGAAGGCAGGUCUCUGGGCUGACACUGACGCUCAUGCACGAAAGCGUGGGGAGCAAACAGG